rnacentral:rRNA from 1 species
CGUUCCCGGGCCUUGUACACACCGCCCGUCACACCACGAGAGUUUGUAAUACCCGAAGUCGGUGGGGUAACCUUUUGGAGCCAGCCGCCUAAGGUGGGACAGAUGAUUGGGGUG